UGAUCUGCCAAUUCCCAAAAGUUUGGAUCUUCAUACAAAAACCAGCACACACAAAUAAGAAAACUGCAGCUCCUAUUCCAGCAAUCCAAUUUCAGAAUUCAAAAUUCAAAAUCAGAAAUUCAGAUUUAAAGCUUAAGUUUCAGCAGAUCAGAAAUCAAUUCCAGCAAUACGAAUUCAGAUGGGCAGCUUACUCCUGGACAAUUUCAAAGCCCACAUCAGGUUGCAUGCGUUAAACAUGAGAGUGCUUCGCAAAGAAGACCCAGAAAGCGGAGCAUUGCAGCACGGUAAGGUGGUGCGCUGAAACUUCCCACGAGGACCAGAGCUUGCAGUAGUCAUCGACGCAUGGACCAAGCCGAACUCCAAAAACCCUUGAAAAGAAUUCAUGAAGCUUUGUGUCAUAGUAUUUAUCCAAAAUGAAAAGUUGGGAACCAAACAAGUCAAGGUUAUCAUGUAGUAUGCACAUGUUGGAGCUCACCCAUUCCCCACCACCCCGUGGGAUCCAAAUCCACUCUACAACUUCAUUAUCAGGCUCCCAUUUAUGUUCAUUCAAGAAUAGGUACACUCUCGAGAUUGUAGUAAUAUCAGAGUGACACCUAAUAUGAAGUGCCAGUAAAAGGCAUGCUUGAGUGUCAUCCACAGAUACACCAAUUUCUUUAAGCUUCCUUCUAUAAGAAGCAAGCUCAGAUCCAUA